UAAUCUGGCAUUUGAGUUUAUCCUUAAUAAG
rnacentral:piRNA from 1 species